CUCAGUUCGGAUUGGAGUCUGNAACCCGACUCCAUGAAGCUGGAUUCGCUAGUAAUCGCGCAUCAGCCACGGCGCGGUGAAUACGUUCCCGGGCCUUGUACACACCGCCCGUCAAGCCAUGGAAGCCGGGGGUGCCUGAAGUGCGCUGCCGCGAGGAGCGCCCUAGGGUAAAACCGGUGACUGGGGCUAAGUCGUAACAAGGUAGC
rnacentral:rRNA from 1 species